rnacentral:rRNA from 1 species
GACGUAGGGCGCGAGCGUUGUCCGGAUUUAUUGGGCGUAAAGAGCUCGUAGGCGGCUUGUUGCGUCGACCGUGAAAACCCGUGGCUUAACUGCGGGCUUGCGGUCGAUACGGGCGGGCUGGAGUUCGGUAGGGGAGACUGGAAUUCCUGGUGUAGCGGUGAAAUGCGCAGAUAUCAGGAGGAACACCGGUGGCGAAGGCGGGUCUCUGGGCCGAUACUGACGCUGAGGAGCGAAAGCGUGGGGGAGCGAACAGG